rnacentral:misc_RNA from 1 species
UUUUCUUCAACCUUAUCUUAUCUUGCAUCUUUUUCUCCUUAUUCUUAUUCCAAAUCAACAUCUAGUAUAACGUUAUCUUUUCCAUUGCAUUUGGAGCAUCUAUGAUCUGGAUAUUUGUGUCAAAUAAGUUUGCAAUAUCUGAUUAAUAAUUCUUCUGAAAUAAAUUCCUUUUUCAAUGCUCUUGUCGUAGGUUGUUCUUAUGAUUUUAAUAGUGAAAAAAUCCAGCAUCUACUGGAUGGAGGGGCACCUCAGCUUGUGGAUCUGGAUAGAACCGAUAUGUUGGAGGAUUCCGAGCCUGGUGGAAAUACCUCAGCGCUGUAUUUAAACAAACGUUAUGAGUUUGAGGGAGUUCCCCAUCGUUUCCUUUUAUCUCUGGAAUUUUAUCAUCUUCCGAUCGACGUAGCUCCGCAUUUUUAUAGUCAUGCUGCUGACUUAUAUUAGCUUUAGACUUCAGGUUAUCUUCAUUAGUCUUUAUCUUUUGUAUCUCAUUAUCCAUUCUGUCUACUUUGGUACAAAGUGUAGUAAUUGCUUUGAGUAGCUCUUCGAUUGUAUCUUUAUUUUUGUUCUCAGUCUGAGUAGCUUUGUCUUGAUAAAUAGUCUGCAACACCAUUCUUG